CCUACGGGUGGCUGCAGUGGGGAAUAUUGGACAAUGGGCGAAAGCCUGAUCCAGCCAUGCCGCGUGUGUGAAGAAGGCCUUCGGGUUGUAAAGCACUUUCAGUGGGGAAGAAAGCCUUGGGGCUAAUACCCUCGAGGAAGGACAUCACCCACAGAAGAAGCACCGGCUAACUCCGUGCCAGCAGCCGCGGUAAUACGGAGGGGGCGAGCGUUAAUCGGAAUUACUGGGCGUAAAGCGCGCGUAGGCGGUCUGAUAAGCCGGUUGUGAAAGCCCCGGGCUCAACCUGGGAACGGCAUCCGGAACUGUCAGGCUAGAGUGCAGGAGAGGAAGGUAGAAUUCCCGGUGUAGCGGUGAAAUGCGUAGAGAUCGGGAGGAAUACCAGUGGCGAAGGCGGCCUUCUGGACUGACACUGACGCUGAGGUGCGAAAGCGUGGGUAGCAAACAGGAUUAGAUACCCGGGUGUC
rnacentral:rRNA from 1 species